CGGCAUGCGGCUGCUAUACAUGCAGUCGAGCGAAUCGAUGGGAGCUUGCUCCCUGAGAUUAGCGGCGGACGGGUGAGUAACACGUGGGCAACCUGCCUAUAAGACUGGGAUAACUUCGGGAAACCGGAGCUAAUACCGGAUACGUUCUUUUCUCGCAUGAGAGAAGAUGGAAAGACGGUUUCGGCUGUCACUUAUAGAUGGGCCCGCGGCGCAUUAGCUAGUUGGUGAGGUAAUGGCUCACCAAGGCGACGAUGCGUAGCCGACCUGAGAGGGUGAUCGGCCACACUGGGACUGAGACACGGCCCAGACUCCUACGGGAGGCAGCAGUAGGGAAUCUUCCGCAAUGGACGAAAGUCUGACGGAGCAACGCCGCGUGAACGAAGAAGGCCUUCGGGUCGUAAAGUUCUGUUGUUAGGGAAGAACAAGUACCAGAGUAACUGCUGGUACCUUGACGGUACCUAACCAGAAAGCCACGGCUAACUACGUGCCAGCAGCCGCGGUAAUACGUAGGUGGCAAGCGUUGUCCGGAAUUAUUGGGCGUAAAGCGCGCGCAGGUGGUUCUUUAAGUCUGAUGUGAAAGCCCACGGCUCAACCGUGGAGGGUCAUUGGAAACUGGGGAACUUGAGUGCAGAAGAGGAAAGUGGAAUUCCAAGUGUAGCGGUGAAAUGCGUAGAGAUUUGGAGGAACACCAGUGGCGAAGGCGACUUUCUGGUCUGUAACUGACACUGAGGCGCGAAAGCGUGGGGAGCAAACAGGAUUAGAUACCCUGGUAGUCCACGCCGUAAACGAUGAGUGCUAAGUGUUAGAGGGUUUCCGCCCUUUAGUGCUGCAGCUAACGCAUUAAGCACUCCGCCUGGGGAGUACGGCCGCAAGGCUGAAACUCAAAGGAAUUGACGGGGGCCCGCACAAGCGGUGGAGCAUGUGGUUUAAUUCGAAGCAACGCGAAGAACCUUACCAGGUCUUGACAUCCUCUGACAACCCUAGAGAUAGGGCGUUCCCCUUCGGGGGACAGAGUGACAGGUGGUGCAUGGUUGUCGUCAGCUCGUGUCGUGAGAUGUUGGGUUAAGUCCCGCACGAGCGCAACCCUUGAUCUUAGUUGCCAGCAUUCAGUUGGGCACUCUAAGGUGACUGCCGGUGACAACCGGAGGAGGUGGGGAUGACUUCAAUCCUCAGGCCCCUUAUGACCUGGGCUACCACGUGCUAAAUGGAGGUACAAGGGCUGCAACCUGCCAAGGUAACCAAUCCCAAAAGCCUUUCCAAUUCGAAUUGAGGCGCCACUCCCCCACUGAACCCGAAUCCUUUAAUCCGGAAUCCCAUGCCCCGGUAAAACUUUCCCGGCCUUUUACCCCCGCCCUCCCCCCAAAGGUUUAACCCAAUCGGGAGGAACCUUUUGGCCCCCCCCAGGGGGGAAGAUAAGGGGGGAAUUUUUUAAGGGAGCCAAAAAGCAGGGGGGGGGGGCCCAAAAUAUUUUUUUUUUUUUUU
rnacentral:rRNA from 1 species